rnacentral:lncRNA from 1 species
AAUGAAUAAUUUUCAGCAUUUAUACAUUAAGUAUCAUCUGUACAUCUCUGAGAAUCAUAUUAAUCCACAUAAGAAACCAAAUAUAGCACUUACUCGGAGAAAUGAAUAAUUUUCAGCAUUUAUACAUUAUCAUCUGUACAUCUCUGAGAAUCAUAUUGAUCCACCUAAGAAACCAAAUUUAGCACUUACUCUACAACAAGGUAACUGAGAAAUGACAACACAUUGCAGAAACCUCACUUUCAGUGUGUUAUGGACUGAUCAAAAAGAAAGAUUACACCCAACAAAGUAUACAACAUUCAUACAAAGUUGAAGCAAUAGUUUUUUCCAGAAACAUAUGCCCAAAGUGGACUGACCACAGAGAACAAAUAGAGCAUGCAUCAUAUAAUUUAAUAACACACCAUACCUCGUUAAUUUACUGCUUAGUUUUAAAGGUCACGUACCUUUACAUGCUCCAAGGUGCUGUAUGGGUUGCUGAAGCAAUGGUAGUUCAGUUGCCUGGUACUUGCACUUGGAAAAAAUGAUUCUCCUCAGCCUUCUUUCAUCAAUGAAAAGUAAAGCAUUGCAGAAAAUUUACAAAUUGCAUUUCAGAAGUUGCUCUAUUGUAACCUGGGUGCCACAUGUUCAAAAUAUGGAAAUAGCCUCUCCAUAUGUAGGGUAAAGCUGCGUAUAUCUGAUCCUUCCCAGACUCCACAACAGUAUGAGUCUCGUGCACCGAGACACCCUAGUAACACUGUAUUAAAGUGCAAUAGACUCCUUCAACAAGAAGCUUCUAUCACCAUUAGUAUUAUUUUCAUCAUUUUCCUGCUCUUUGAUAAUUCCUAGAGACUUCUUGCUCCAAACUCCACAUAUCUUAUAGUCCCAAACAAUCUCUGAUAUUGCAUCCUGAGGCGAUCUCAAUUCAUGCCGAUUCACCGACUUAUGCAGUUCGCAAAAGAAUUUUGGAUCUCGCAACCUAACAUAUUCACGCAAUAUCCACUCAUGGUCAGGUACCCAGUUCCUAGGGAAUGGAGUAUAAUCACAUGAUGGAAUCAAUGACAUGUAGUAUUAUUUUCAUCAUUUUCCUGCUCUUUGAUAAUUCCUAGAGACUUCUUGCUCCAAACUCCACAUAUCUUAUAGUCCCAAACAAUCUCUGAUAUUGCAUCCUGAGGCGAUCUCAAUUCAUGCCGAUUCACCGACUUAUGCAGUUCGCAAAAGAAUUUCGGAUCUCGCAGCCUAACAUAUUCAUGCAAUAUCCGCUCAUGGUCAGGUACCCAGUUCCUAGGGAAUGGGGUAUAAUCACAUGAUGGAAUCAAUGACAUGUGCGAAAACUGAACACCCUCGAUGGCAUCAACAAGCC